rnacentral:rRNA from 1 species
CAAUAGCGUAUAUUAAAGUUGUUGCAGUUAAAAAGCUCGUAGUUGGAUUUCUGGUGGGAGCGAUCGGUCUGGCGCUUAGCGCGAGUACUUGCAUCGUCUCCGGCCAUCCUUGGGGAGAGUCUGUCUGGCAUUAAGUUGUCGGGCCGAGGAUCCUCAUCGUUUACUGUGAAAAAAUUAGAGUGUUCAAAGCAGGCUUAUGCCGUUGAAUAUAUUAGCAUGGAAUAAUAAGAUAGGACUUUGGUACUAUUUUGUUGGUUUGCGCACCAAAGUAAUGAUUAAUAGGGACAGUUGGGGGUAUUCGUAUUCCGUUGUCAGAGGUGAAAUUCUUGGAUUUACGGAAGACGAACUACUGCGAAAGCAUUUACCAAGGAUGUUUUCAUUAA